AACUAGGGAAAAUCAUUUUUUACCUACGGUUCAGGUGUAGACGGGUUCAGGUGUAUCUUCAGGUGUGAACGGGUUCAGGUGUAUCUUCAGGUGUAGACGGGUUCAGGUGUGAACAGGUUCAGGUGUAUCUUCAGGUGUGAACGGGUUCAGGUGUAUCAUCAGGUGUAGACGGGUUCAGGUGUGAACAGGUUCAGGUGUAUCUUCAGGUGUGAACAGGUUCAGGUGUAUCUUCAGGUGUAGACGGGUUCAGGUGUAUCUUCAGGUGUGAACGGGUUCAGGUGUAUCUUCAGGUGUGAACGGGUUCAGGUGUAUCUUCAGGUGUAGACGGGUUCAGGUGUAUCUUCAGGUGUAGACGGGUUCAGGUGUAUCUUCA